rnacentral:rRNA from 1 species
UGGGGAAUAUUGGACAAUGGGGGCAACCCUGAUCCAGCAAUGCCGCGUGUGUGAAGAAGGCCUGCGGGUUGUAAAGCACUUUCAGUAGAGAAGAAAAGCUCAUGGUUAAUACCCGUGAGUCUUGACGUAACCUACAGAAGAAGCACCGGCUAACUCCGUGCCAGCAGCCGCGGUAAUACGGAGGGUGCGAGCGUUAAUCGGAAUUACUGGGCGUAAAGCGCGCGUAGGUGGUUCUGUAAGUCGGAUGUGAAAGCCCAGGGCUUAACCUUGGAACUGCAUUCGAUACUGCAGAACUAGAGUAUGGUAGAGGGAAGUGGAAUUUCCGGUGUAGCGGUGAAAUGCGUAGAUAUCGGAAGGAACACCAGUGGCGAAGGCGACUUCCUGGGCCAAUACUGACACUGAGGUGCGAAAGCGUGGGGAGCAAACAGGAUUAGAUACCCCCGUAGUCC